GAAUCUGCCAAGGGUCUGGGAUACCCCGGGAAACUGGGGAUAAUACCGGAUGGUUCACUACUUCUGGAAUGAGUGGUGACUGAAAGGCGACCCCCUUGGAUGGUUCUGCUGCGGAUUAGGUUGACGCCGGUGUAACGUAUCGUCGUGCCAGUUAUCCGUACGGGUUGUGGGAACAAGAGCCCGGAGAUGGAUUCUGAAACACGAAUCCAGGUCCUACGGGGCGCACCAGGCGCUAAAACUCUACAAUGCACGCAACUGCUAUACGGGGACAUAGAGUGUGCACCCACCUUGGGUGCCUGUCCCACCGUCAAAAAAGCGGUGGUUAGCACGGGCCGGGUAAGACAAGUGCCAGCCGCCGCGUUAAUUCUCGCGGCUCGAGUGGUGGCCGAUCUUAUUAGAUCUAUAGGGUCCGUAGCCGGCUUUGCCAUUCCCCCGGGAAAUCCUCCGGCUUAUCCGUUGGGCUUCCAUGGGAUACUACAUUCCUUGGGACUGGGACAGGUAUGAGGUACUCGGGGGGUAGGGGUGAAAUCCUGUAUUCCUCUGAGGACCACCGGUGGCGAAGGCGUCCUACCUGAACAGGUCCGUCUGUGAGGGACGACAGCUAGGGGCACGAACCGGAUUAGAUACCCGGGUAGUCCUAGCCGUAAACGAUGCCCGCUAGGUGUCACGGCAGUCGUGAAUUGCCGUGGUGCCGUAGGGAAGCCGCGAAGCGGGCCACUUGGGAAGUACGGCCGCAAGGCUG
rnacentral:rRNA from 1 species